AGAGUUUGAUCCUGGCUCAGGAUGAACGCUAGCGGCACGCUUCAUACAUGCAAGUCGAGGGGCAGCAUAAAGUACUUGUACUUUGAUGGCGACCGGCGAACGGGUGCGUAACGCGUAUGCAACUUACCUUUUACUAGAGAAUAGCCAAGAGAAAUUUUGAUUAAUGCUCUAUAAUCUUAUAAAUUCACAUGGGUUUUUAAGAAAAGCUCCGGCGGUAAAAGAUGGGCAUGCGUCCUAUUAGCUUGUAGGUGAGGUAACGGCUCACCUAAGCUCCGAUAGGUAGGGGUCCUGAGAGGGAGAUCCCCCACACUGGUACUGAGACACGGACCAGACUUCUACGGAAGGCAGCAGUAAGGAAUAUUGGACAAUGGAGGCAACUCUGAUCCAGCGAUGCCGCGUGAAGGAAGACGGCCCUAUGGGUUGUAAACUUCUUUUAUACAGGAAGAAACCUUUCCACGUGUGGAAAGCUGACGGUACUGUAAGAAUAAGGAUCGGCUAACUCCGUGCCAGCAGCCGCGGUAAUACGGAGGAUCCAAGCGUUAUCCGGAAUUAUUGGGUUUAAAGGGUCCGCAGGCUGUUUGUUAAGUCAGGGGUGAAAUCCUACCGCUCAACGGUAGAACUGCCUUUGAUACUGGCAAACUUGAGUUAUUGUGAAGUAGUUAGAAUGUGUAGUGUAGCGGUGAAAUGCAUAGAUAUUACACAGAAUACCGAUUGCGAAAGCAGAUUACUAACAAUAUACUGACGCUGAGGGACGAAAGCGUGGGUAGCGAACAGGAUUAGAUACCCUGGUAGUCCACGCCGUAAACGAUGGUCACUAGCUGUUUGAUGUACAUUGGUACGUUGAGUGGCUAAGCGAAAGUGAUAAGUGACCCACCUGGGGGAGUACGCUCGCAAGAGUGAAACUCAAAGGAAUUGACGGGGGCCCGCACAAGCGGUGGAGCAUGUGGUUUUAAUUCGAUGAUACGCGAGGAAACCUUACCCAGGACUUAAAUGUAAGUUGCAUGAUUCAGAAAUGGAUCUUUCUUCGGACUACUUACAAGGUGCUGCAUGGUUGUCGUCAGCUCGUGCCGUGAGGUGUCAGGUUAAGUCCUAUAACGAGCGCAACCCCUAUCGUUAGUUGCCAUCAAGUAAAGUUGGGAACUCUAGCGAAACUGCCGGUGCAAACCGUGAGGAAGGUGGGGAUGACGUCAAAUCAUCACGGCCCUUACGUUCUGGGCUACACACGUGCUACAAUGGCCGGUACAGAAAGCAGCCACUAUGCGAAUAGGAGCUAAUCUUCAAAGCCGGUCUCAGUUCGGAUCGCAGUCUGCAACUCGACUGCGUGAAGCUGGAAUCGCUAGUAAUCGGAUAUCAGCCAUGAUCCGGUGAAUACGUUCCCGGGCCUUGUACACACCGCCCGUCAAGCCAUGGAAGCUGGGGGUACCUAAAGUCGGUGACCGAAAGGAGCCGCCUAGGGUAAAACUAGUAACUGGGGCUAAGUCGUAACAAGGUA
rnacentral:rRNA from 1 species